rnacentral:rRNA from 1 species
AUACGUAGGUGACAAGCGUUAUCCGGAUUUACUGGGCGUAAAGGGCGUGUAGGCGGUCUUGCAAGUCAGAAGUGAAAUUCCUGAGCUCAACUCGGGCGCUGCUUCUGAAACUGCAGGACUUGAGUGCUGGAGGGGAUAGCGGAAUUCCUAGUGGAGCGGUAAAAUGCGCAGAUAUUAGGAAGAACACCGGUGGCGAAGGCGGCUAUCUGGACAGUAACUGACGCUGAGGCGCGAAAGCGUGGGGAGCAAACAGGAUUAGAUACCCUGGUAGUCCACGCUGUAAACGAUGAAUACUAGGUGUGGGGGGACUGACCCCCUCCGUGCCGCAGUUAACACAAUAAGUAUUCCACCUGGGGAGUACGGCCGCAAGGUUGAAACUCAAAUGAAUUGACGGGG